rnacentral:rRNA from 1 species
AUUGAACGCUGGCGGCAGGCCUAACACAUGCAAGUCGAGCGAGCGGCGGACGGGUGAGUAAUGUCUGGGAAACUGCCUGAUGGAGGGGGAUAACUACUUGAAACGGUAGCUAAUACCGCAUACCAUCAGAUGUGCCCAGAUGGGAUUAGCUAGUAGUUGGGGUAACGGCUCACCUAGGCGACGAUCCCUAGCUGUUCUGAGAGGAUGACCAGCCACACUGGGACUGAGACACGGUCCAGACUCCUACGGGAGGCAGCAGUGGGGAAUAUUGCACAAUGGGCGAAAGCCUGAUCCAGCCACGCCGCGUGUGUGAAGAAGGCCUUCGGGUUGUAAAGCUCUUUUAGCGGAGAGGCGGUACCCGCCCAAGAAGCACCGGCUAACUCCGUGCCAGCCGCCGCGGUAAUAC